rnacentral:lncRNA from 1 species
CUCGGUCCCUGCCCCAAACUCUAUGAAACUCACCGUCAUUUUUCUUCCCUCCUGUUGUGGACCUAAGCAAUUACAGGUUUAAAUUCUGUAUACAGCACUAGUCAAGACAAUGUGAUAUCCUUCCAUCUUCCCCUUUUAUUUCAGGAAAUGCAUAGCUUAGUGAAAAGAAAGCCUGCAAAUAUUCAGGGUUAAGAAGUGUGUAUGUUCUGAAGUGAAGGGCUAGUAAAAUAAUAAAAGCCAGGAUCUGCUCCCAAACCUUCAGGACAAUGGGUAGUCCCUAUGGGACCUUAAAAGACCCAUAUCUGAGUAGUCUCCCUUGUCUAGCCUGCUGGAAGAGGGUGAAUGUAUUCAGAAUGGACCUCAUGCUGUCAGUGACUAGUUUGUAUUGGUGAGAAAUUUCCUACUUCCUACCUUGCUUACUUUUGUUCCAUAGUUCCCUUAAUCUGAGAAUAGAUGGACAAGAGGAGGGCAUUAGGGAUUGUUACUCUUCUUGGUCCAAACUCAGGCCAUAUAUGCCCUAAGUAUUGUUCUUCACUAGUUUCCACUUAGUAAUACCCAACUAAUUUGUGUUCAAAGGUAUUCCAAAAGCAGGACUCACCCACUGUUUUUUUUUUUAGAUUGAAAAUACACUAAAUAGUCCAUUUAGUCUAUUUUAAAACUUGGUUUCAGAUGGAAGGUGUCCAUUCUUCUUAUGAAUGGACACCAACCAUUCUUCUUAUGAAUGGACACCAACCAUUCUUCUUAUGAAUGGACACCAACUAGUCUUCUUAUGAAUGGACACCAACUAGUCUUCUUAUGAAUGGACACCAACUAGUCUGGCCCUGAGUUUGCCACUCCUGUGACUAUUAACACAAACUUCGUCAUAGCCUUUCAGUGACUUUAAGUCAACUCUAAACUGGUUCAGUGAGCGCUAAGCUUAUUCUUUGGGCUUUGAGUGGCUAUUUCCAGUGAGGUGUUAGGGCUAUGUGCCCUAUCCAGCCUUCAAAACAGUCUCCAUGAAUCUCCUCUGGGAGAGUAUUGUUUGCAGUGUGUCAUCUCAGCGUGGUUUUUGAGUGUUCUGAGUUGCUUAAGUAGAACACUCCCUGAAUCAAAGUUUUUUUUUAAAUAAUCAGCAUUCUAUAGCCCACUAAUAUGGGGGGAGGGUACAAAUAACCUGGAGUUGUUUGGCCUUUGUUCCUUGAUUCCUGUACUCAAGACACUGAAGCUGUCUCCCGUGUCCUGUGUGAAGAAUAAGAUCUGGCAAAUGAGGGAGCUUUCUUGAGACAGGAAGGCUGCAUUUCUGUGGGUAGAGAGAUGUGGGUGUUUGAGAGCCUAUCUCAGAUGUACAUUAAUAGGAAAGAAAGGUGCGCUCUCUGAUGUAACAGUCCCGUCACUUACCGUUCUGAUUGCUCUGUACUGCUUUCCUCCACUUCAGGAAGCCUUAACGAGCUCUUGGCUAAAUGGUUUGUUAGAAUGGUCAGGCUUUCCUCUUGUCUUUGUCCUGCUAUUUGUUUCAGAGCUGACUGUCAACGAGCAGUGUCAGAAUUGUUCCCUCCCAGACUUAACAUGCAGAAGAGAGUGUCUCGUUGCUUUGUAACCGUGUGUGCUAAGUGCUGAACUUGGCCAUGGGUGGUUGCAGCUCAGUUUAUAGAACAGUCCAAAGAGACUUGUGCAAAACAUGAUGACAGGCAGGGACCUUCUCCUGUGGGUUUCAGUACCUACAUACCUAUUGAACAAAGCAGUAGGUGGACACUUCCUAAAGUUGAAGCAGUGGCUUCAUAGAGUCUUGGUUACUUUAUUUUUUUUAAUGCUUUACAUUUGAUACAACUAUUGAAGAUCAAUUUAAAAAUAACUUUCCAGUAAUAUAUUUUAAGUAAUAUAUAUUUUAAUAUCUAUGUAAAGAGUGACAGUGGAGGACUGAAUUUCUCAUGUAUAAUUUCUAUGUCUUGGUAGGGUCUCAUUGUUGGGGCACAAAUUAUUUCAAAGGAGUUGCUCUAAAAACACUCAGAUUACUUCCCAAAAAAAAAAAAAGAAAGAAAAAAAGAAAAAUGCAAUAAUGGGAAUGAUUUGGGGCUUUUAAUUUUUAUUUUAAAAGAAAAUUGACUUAUUUGCCACAAGCUAUUUUUCCCUCUCUGGUGAUAAGGUUUGUACAGACUGGUUUGGUAAAUGCUAAAUUUUUGUGUCUUUUGCCUUUUUAAAGGAAUUGUUAACAUUGGAAUUGAGGGUAUGUACAGAGAAGUUGGUGUCAAUGCCAUUUAAUAAGUCAUAUUUUUUCACAAAUAAGGAAAAAUCAUUUUAAUAAGAAUUUUAAGUAUUUGCAAUAAAUAUAUGUAUAUAGAUUGUAUGUAUUCAUAUAUUAUUUUUCAUUUUAUUAUUAAGUAAAAGAUAAUUAAAAGUGAAAUUAAAAAUCUUGUAGUUUUUGAUGAAUCUUGAGGUCUGACAUCUGAAUGUAACACGGGGAA